AGGACAAACGCUGGCGGAAUGUAUUAGGCAUGCAAGUCGCACGAGCCUUCGGGCUAGUGGCGGACGGGUGAGUAACACGUGGGUAACCUGCCUCGUAGUGGGGAAUAACUCGCCGAAAGGCGAGCUAAUACCGCAUAACACCCCCGGUGAGAAUCCGGGCGGUAAAAGCUCUGGCGCUACGAGAGGGGCCCGCGGCCGAUUAGCUAGUUGGUGGGGUAAUGGCCUACCAAGGCGACGAUCGGUAGCUGGUCUGAGAGGAUGGUCAGCCACACGGGGACUGAGAUACGGCCCCGACUCCUACGGGAGGCAGCAGCUAAGAAUCUUGCGCAAUGGGCGAAAAGCCUGACGCAGCAAUUCCGCGUGGGGACAAGGCCCUCGGGUCGUAAACCCCUUUGUCGAAGGAAGAAGUUCUGACGGUACUUCACGAAUAAGACACGGCUAACGUACGUGCCAGCAGCCGC
rnacentral:rRNA from 1 species